ACUGAUGGAAUAACCCUGGGAAACCGAUAAGCUUUUCUCAAUGAAAGGGAGCUGGUGGAGUAACGCCUGGAUAUCAAGAGGGUUGGGCCUUAUCUGGUCACCAGUGUCAUUAACCCAGGCGGUACCAAGCUACCAAGGACUGCGGAGGUAAUCAGGCCCACACUGUGUCCCUGUACACUGCCAGCUCACACCUGGAGAGCUGGAAAGACGCCAAAGAGCAUUGACCUGCAGGACACCUGAUGCACAAGCCAAGAAGUCUGAAACCAUCACAGGAUGCAAGUGCCAGAGGAAUACCUGAACUACAGAGCAGUGGAGUCAAGGUCAGGUCAUAAGAUGAAUGACUCCAAUAAAGAGAUUACAUGCCAGACACAACUGGCAGCACCAGUCACCAAA